AGUAAUUUUUAACCGACUUCCAAAAAAGGAGGAGGUUCUCAAUUCGACUGUAUUUUUUUUUUUUUUUUUUUUUUUUUUUUUUUUUUUUUUUAUGUAUGUUACAUCAGAACUUUUGACCGGGUAGACCGAUUUCGACAAAUUUUGUUUCAAUCGAAAGGUGGUGUGUGCCAAUUGGUCCCAUUUAAAUUUAUUUGAGAUCUAACAACUACUUUUCGAGUUAUAUCUAAUAAAGCGUUUUUACUUGACGCUUUUUUCGUCGACCUACGUUGUAUUAUACCGCAUAACUUUCUACUGGAUGUACCGAUUUUGAUAAUUCUUUUUUCGUUGGAAAGGGGAUAUCCCUAGUUUGGUACCGUAAUAAGGAAACCAGGAUCUGAUGAUGGGAUCCCAGAGAAAUCGAGGGAAACUCUUGAAAAUCCGUAAUAACUUUUUACUGGGUGUACCGAUUUUGA
rnacentral:misc_RNA from 1 species